AACGAACGCUGGCGGCGUGGAUUAGGCAUGCAAGUCGAACGAGAUCCAAGGCAUCCAAGUAGCAAUAUGAGGAUGUCUUGGUGACAGUGGCGAAAGGGUGAGGAACACGCGGGUAAUCUGCCCUCAAGUUGGGGAUAGCUCUGCGAAAGCGGAAUUAAUACCGAAUGUGGUCGUGGCGCACAUGCGCCAUUAUCCAAAGCCGGGGACCGUAAGGCCUGGCGCUUGAGGAUGAGCCCACGUCCUAUCAGCUUGUUGGUGAGGUGACGGCUUACCAAGGCUAUGACGGGUAGCUGGUCUGAGAGGAUGGUCAGCCACACUGGGACUGAGACACUGCCCAGACUCCUACGGGAGGCAGCAGUGGGGAAUAUUGCACAAUGGGGGAAACCCUGAUG
rnacentral:rRNA from 1 species